AUGGAGGGACACCUGAACCGCCAAAGGUCAUUACUCCAGGAAAUGAAAGCAAGGGAAAAGAGAAAACUAUCCAGGAUGAGGAAAGAAGUGUGCCAAAGAAUAGGAGGGGAAGGAUCACCCUCAGGUUGUGGUGAUGAAGAAAUGGAGGAAGAAGGUGGAGUAGAUGCAGAAGCAGCAGAUUCAGAGACUGAUGAGGAUUUCUAUGAUAGUGACUGUGAUGUGGAGGAUGGGGACGAUGAUUUAUUUGAGACAAAUAUAGAUAAAGAAGUGGAUGAUCACAGAGAGAAGGAUACACCAUGUGACUAUGAAGCAGAGCUAGCAGAGGAUGCUCUAGACGAUUCCCACCUUGAAUUGUCCAAAGAAGAGAGGGACAAGUUGAAGUACCAUUUCAAGGCAUUUAAUGCAGAAAUAGAUUUAAAUGCCCCCUGUUUUUAG
rnacentral:rRNA from 1 species